GCCUGUGAAGCAAUUUGAUACUAUAAACAGGCUGAGUUGUUUAGCACAGAGAGAAAAUAUUGACCUGUCUGCAUUCUGGUACUGUACAUACAGGUCCUAGUUGGGUAAAACACGAUACAUUUUGAGUUAUUCUCACCAGCAAGUAAAAGUAAAGUGAAUAUUCUUCAGUAAGUGUCUUUUGAAAGGGUCAAACUAUAGGAAAUGCAAAUUUUACCUGCUUUAUACAGGCAUUAUUUAAUACUUGCCUAUAGAAGUAUGGCAUUUCUAAGCUGGUGUCUGAGGAGCAUCUCAGAUGUGAGAGUAAAUCUAACAUAGUUCAAAAAUUGGUAAGGGAGGAAGAAAAUCCCUGCAGAUGAUGACCUUAGUCAGCUGGCCAAGUGAAACGAUCUGUCAUUGUGUUUGGGAGGUUUUAUUUUCUUACGUUUUUAAAAUUGAAUUGGUAUAUGCUUUAUAGACAUUGUAUUUUUAUCCAGGUGCCACUCCAAUCUGUGUAU
rnacentral:lncRNA from 1 species